UACGUAGGGCGCAAGCGUUUGUCCGGAAUUAUUGGGCGUAAAGAGCUCGUAGGCGGCUUGUCGCGUCGGAUGUGAAAGCCCGGGGCUUAACCCCGGGUCUGCAUUCGAUACGGGCAGGCUAGAGUGUGGUAGGGGAGAUCGGAAUUCCUGGUGUAGCGGUGAAAUGCGCAGAUAUCAGGAGGAACACCGAUGGCGAAGGCAGGUCUCUGGGCCGAUACUGACGCUGAGGAGCGAAAGCGUGGGGAGCGAACAGG
rnacentral:rRNA from 1 species